rnacentral:rRNA from 1 species
GACGUAGGGCGCGAGCGUUGUCCGGAUUGAUUGGGCGUAAAGAGCUCGUAGGCGGCUCGUUGCGUCGGCUGUGAAAACCCGCAGCUCAACUGUGGGCCUGCAGCUGAUACGGGCGGGCUGGAGUUCGGUAGGGGAGACUGGAAUUCCUGGUGUAGCGGUGAAAUGCGCAGAUAUCAGGAGGAACACCGGUGGCGAAGGCGGGUCUCUGGGCCAUUACUGACGCUGAGGAGCGAAAGCGUGGGGAGCGAACAGG